rnacentral:rRNA from 1 species
AAAUUGAAGAGUUUGAUCAUGGCUCAGAUUGAACGCUGGCGGCAGGCUUAACACAUGCAAGUCGAACGGUAACAGGAAGCAGCUUGCUGCUUUGCUGACGAGUGGCGGACGGGUGAGUAAUGUCUGGGAAACUGCCUGAUGGAGGGGGAUAACUACUGGAAACGGUGGCUAAUACCGCAUAACGUCGCAAGACCAAAGAGGGGGACCUUCGGGCCUCUUGCCAUCAGAUGUGCCCAGAUGGGAUUAGCUAGUUGGUGAGGUAACGGCUCACCAAGGCGACGAUCCCUAGCUGGUCUGAGAGGAUGACCAGCCACACUGGAACUGAGACACGGUCCAGACUCCUACGGGAGGCAGCAGUGGGGAAUAUUGCACAAUGGGCGCAAGCCUGAUGCAGCCAUGCCGCGUGUAUGAAGAAGGCCUUCGGGUUGUAAAGUACUUUCAGCGGGGAGGAAGGUGUUGUGGUUAAUAACCACAGCAAUUGACGUUACCCGCAGAAGAAGCACCGGCUAACUCCGUGCCAGCAGCCGCGGUAAUACGGAGGGUGCAAGCGUUAAUCGGAAUUACUGGGCGUAAAGCGCACGCAGGCGGUCUGUCAAGUCGGAUGUGAAAUCCCCGGGCUCAACCUGGGAACUGCAUUCGAAACUGGCAGGCUUGAGUCUUGUAGAGGGGGGUAGAAUUCCAGGUGUAGCGGUGAAAUGCGUAGAGAUCUGGAGGAAUACCGGUGGCGAAGGCGGCCCCCUGGACAAAGACUGACGCUCAGGUGCGAAAGCGUGGGGAGCAAACAGGAUUAGAUACCCUGGUAGUCCACGCCGUAAACGAUGUCUACUUGGAGGUUGUGCCCUUGAGGCGUGGCUUCCGGAGCUAACGCGUUAAGUAGACCGCCUGGGGAGUACGGCCGCAAGGUUAAAACUCAAAUGAAUUGACGGGGGCCCGCACAAGCGGUGGAGCAUGUGGUUUAAUUCGAUGCAACGCGAAGAACCUUACCUGGUCUUGACAUCCACGGAAGUUUUCAGAGAUGAGAAUGUGCCUUCGGGAACCGUGAGACAGGUGCUGCAUGGCUGUCGUCAGCUCGUGUUGUGAAAUGUUGGGUUAAGUCCCGCAACGAGCGCAACCCUUAUCCUUUGUUGCCAGCGGUCCGGCCGGGAACUCAAAGGAGACUGCCAGUGAUAAACUGGAGGAAGGUGGGGAUGACGUCAAGUCAUCAUGGCCCUUACGACCAGGGCUACACACGUGCUACAAUGGCGCAUACAAAGAGAAGCGACCUCGCGAGAGCAAGCGGACCUCAUAAAGUGCGUCGUAGUCCGGAUUGGAGUCUGCAACUCGACUCCAUGAAGUCGGAAUCGCUAGUAAUCGUGGAUCAGAAUGCCACGGUGAAUACGUUCCCGGGCCUUGUACACACCGCCCGUCACACCAUGGGAGUGGGUUGCAAAAGAAGUAGGUAGCUUAACCUUCGGGAGGGCGCUUACCACUUUGUGAUUCAUGACUGGGGUGAAGUCGUAACAAGGUAACCGUAGGGGAACCUGCGGUUGGAUCACCUCCUUA